rnacentral:rRNA from 1 species
CAGCCGCCACGGUAAUACGUAGGUCCCGAGCGUUGUCCGGAUUUAUUGGGCGUAAAGCGAGCGCAGGCGGUUAGAUAAGUCUGAAGUUAAAGGCUGUGGCUUAACCAUAGUACGCUUUGGAAACUGUUUAACUUGAGUGCAAGAGGGGAGAGUGGAAUUCCAUGUGUAGCGGUGAAAUGCGUAGAUAUAUGGAGGAACACCGGUGGCGAAAGCGGCUCUCUGGCUUGUAACUGACGCUGAGGCUCGAAAGCGUGGGGAGCAAACAGGAUUAGAUACCCCCGUAGUCCCUGUCUCUUAUACC